UGGUGCCAGCAGCCGCGGUAAUUCCAGCUCCAAUAGCGUAUAUUAAAGUUGUUGCAGUUAAAAAGCUCGUAGUUGAACUUUGGGCCUGGGUGGCCGGUCCGAUUUUUUCGUGUACUGGAAUGCACCCGGGCCUUUCCUUCUGGCUAACCCCAAGUCCUUGUGGCUUGGCGGCGAACCAGGACUUUUACUUUGAAAAAAUUAGAGUGUUCAAAGCAGGCGUAUUGCUCGAAUAUAUUAGCAUGGAAUAAUGGAAUAGGACGUUUGGUUCUAUUUUGUUGGUUUCUAGGACCAUCGUAAUGAUUAAUAGGGACGGUCGGGGGCAUCAGUAUUCAAUUGUCAGAGGUGAAAUUCUUGGAUUUAUUGAAGACUAACUACUGCGAAAGCAUUUGCCAAGGACGUUUUCUUUAAUCAAGAACGAAAGUUAGGGGAUCGAA
rnacentral:rRNA from 1 species